rnacentral:rRNA from 1 species
UAAUACGAAGGGGGCUAGCGUUGCUCGGAAUCACUGGGCGUAAAGGGUGCGUAGGCGGGUCUUUAAGUCAGGGGUGAAAUCCUGGAGCUCAACUCCAGAACUGCCUUUGAUACUGAAGAUCUUGAGUCCGGGAGAGGUGAGUGGAACUGCGAGUGUAGAGGUGAAAUUCGUAGAUAUUCGCAAGAACACCAGUGGCGAAGGCGGCUCACUGGCCCGGUACUGACGCUGAGGCACGAAAGCGUGGGGAGCAAACAG